CCCGAGUGUCAGGCGCGCCGAGUGCGCGGGGCUGCGCCGACGCCCCGCUCCGCAAAAUGAAAGCGAGGCGAAGCGAGGGCCCAGCCGGCGGGCGCGCGCGGGAGCCGUCCCGAGAAGGACGUCCCCGGGUUUGAGGGCUGGAAUGUUGGGGUCCUGGUGAAAGGGCUGAGACGGCCCGGAAAAGCAGACGGAAUUCGAACAGUCCUGGCAACGGGGCGGAGGCGGCCUGAGAGCAGAUUCAAGCGAGGAGAUGUCUUACACCGCUUGUCAAUGCUAAUAGCAAAACGAAAAUACGGAAAGAACUUCAGUGGCAGCAAAAUGUGCUGAAAGUGGAACCCAAGGCCUCAGGCAUGCUAAGCAAGUGCUGAACUGCAACCCCCAGCCAGCCGCCCUUGCAGUUUGUUAGUUAGAUGCAUAUCCUUAGAAUAACCGUUGCUGUUGGCCCAUGAGGUUCUGAAUUGCUUGUCCCACAGCCGGUCCCCUGGAAGUGGUGGCCCGCUCUUUCCAUCAUCGGUACAGAGAUGAGAAUUCACACAGGAAAUGAGACAUCAGGGGGUGGACUCCAAACAGGCCUGAGAGGACAUUAUUUUUCUAUCCCUGGCUCUGGGAUCUGAACUUUGAACUGCUUGUAAUACUUCAAGUAGAAGAGAAAAAAAACGACUCCUGUCAUGUGAUAAAGGGCUUGGAAUGUUCUCUCAGAGCCCCAGCACUUGAAGAAGGCAGGCGGAGAAGCACUGCGCCCCUUCAGUCAGCGGCUCCAGCUGAAUGCCCAGCCAACAGCCAGCACCGACUACCUCCCAAGGGAGUGAGCCCACCUCAGCCUAGCUGAGCCUGCAGGAGACCCCAGCCCCAGGCAGCUCCGCGGGGUACAGAACAGCACAGGAGUCCAGUGACCCGCACAGAAAUCCCGAGAGAUAACAUACUUCUCAGCCGAGCGUGGUGGCCCACACCUGAAAUCCCAGCAUUCCGGAGGCUGAGGCAGGAGGGUCCUGAAUGUGAAGACAUCUGGGGCUACACUGUGAGAUGCCUUCUCCAUAAAACUAAAUAAAUACUUCUAAGCAACUGAA